AUACGGAGGGUGCAAGCGUUACUCGGAAUCACUGGGCGUAAAGCGCGCGCAGGCGGGCUGAUAAGUUGGAUGUGAAAGCCUACGGCUCAACCGUAGAACUGCAUCCAAAACUGUCAGUCUAGAGUGUGGGAGAGGAAGAUGGAAUUAGUUGUGUAGGGGUAAAAUCCGUAGAGAUAACUAGGAAUACCAAAAGCGAAGGCAAUCUUCUGGAAAACUACUGACGCUGAGGCGCGAAGGCGUGGGGAGCAAACAGGAUUAGAAACCCCAGUAGUCC
rnacentral:rRNA from 1 species